AAUCUGGACCACUGAGACGUGUUGGAGCAGGAGCUGGUGGCUGGUUAGAUGUGUGUAAUGCAGGGAAGAGUUUUGUUCAUCCAGCUCCUCCUCCACCACAGCGCUCACUGUUUUGUAGUUUGUUCUCUGUGAAGCACAGAGUGAGCCAUCCUCUCGCUCAGAAACGAUCUGUGCAGUGAGCCGCUCCGCCGACACGUCUGUCGGGAGACUCUGCCUGGAAACACCGCAAACUAAUCGGAACCGGCGGCCGACAGAGACGGACGGGUCUCGUAGGCUACGUGGGGGUCGAUUAGUGGGGAUUACUUCAGUGUGCACCUGUGCCAGGUGUGACUCGCUGUGUUGAUGAUGGGAGGAGAGCAGAGCCAGGAGAAGAAGGCGGAGGAGAGAGAGGAGGAGCCUGAAAAGCCCCAGGAGCCCGUCAGUGCUGAGAGCUCAGACUCUGCUGCCUCUGAAGACACUCCAGGAGAGCUGCCCCAGUGCAGGAUGGGAAACAGGAAGGUGGACAACAUGUGUUUCAUGAUCUCAUGCACCAACUGGUACUGAACUGGUCCUGGUGCAGCAGCUUCAUAGUGGACCAGAGGACGUUAACCUGAGGACGUGUGACCAUGUUCUCCUGCGACGCUGCAUUCACACACCCGCUGAAAAUCCAAAUGAAGCAGCCGCUUAAAUCCCAUGCUGCAUUGCUUCACUGCUGCCGUUAAGAGGACGUGUUUAGAACAUCCUGCAGUGUUGAUGAACAGUUAGUGCAGCUCUCCUGAUGGCUCCUGGUCUGAACUGUAUUUUACAGCUCAGUGAAUGAAAGCAGACGUAGACGACAUGUGGCGACAGAUUGAAACGCUGUGUGUAACGUGUGUGAGCUCUUAGAUUCAGUAUCAUCUGCUGUAUAAACUCUAGUCUAACCACUGUAAACAGACAUGUUAGAAACGCUCCGUACACAGAGAGCAGCAGUGACAGUGUAUCUGAGAGGCUGGUCAAAGUUAAAGAUCCUCAUCAUGUUAAUCAGUCUGUCUGCUCUGCUCGGUCAGUUCAUCAACACAGCAGGUAAAUAAAGAGAGAAGCUCUGAUGAACUGCUUCUCUGAGUCUCCUCAGUAACAGAGAACGAUUUCAGCUUCACGGCACUUUAGAAAUCCUGUGUACACAUUUAAUUGUGUAAAUAAAGUUUGUUCUAAACCUAAAUUAUUUUCUACAACAAAAGACACAGAACUCCACAGAUUACAACUGUGUGUGUGUGUGUGUGUGUGUGUGUGUGUGUGUGUCUAACAUUAGGUCUGGCUGAUUAAAAUCCCUCCAACAACGAGACGCAUGAAGCUGUUUGAUUUGUGUCUCAUUAUUUCUCAACAUUGAAUUUAACGUAUUUAAUGGACAAAAUAAAAACAUCCUGUACAAACUCA